GACGAACGCUGGCGGCGUGCUUAACACAUGCAAGUCGAACGGAAAGGCCCUGCUUUUGUGGGGUGCUCGAGUGGCGAACGGGUGAGUAACACGUGAGUAACCUGCCCUUGACUUUGGGAUAACUUCAGGAAACUGGGGCUAAUACCGGAUAGGAGCUCCUGCUGCAUGGUGGGGGUUGGAAAGUUUCGGCGGUUGGGGAUGGACUCGCGGCUUAUCAGCUUGUUGGUGGGGUAGUGGCUUACCAAGGCUUUGACGGGUAGCCGGCCUGAGAGGGUGACCGGCCACAAUGGGACUGAGAUACGGCCCAGACUCCUACGGGACGCAGCAGUGGAGAAUAUUGCACAAUGGGCGGAAGCCUGAUGCAGCAACGCCGCGUGCGGGAUGACGGCCUUCGGGUUGUAAACCGCUUUCGCCUGUGACGAAGCGUGAGUGACGGUAAUGGGUAAAGAAGCACCGGCUAACUACGUG
rnacentral:rRNA from 1 species